rnacentral:rRNA from 1 species
UGGUGGAGUGAUUUGUCUGGUUAAUUCCGUUAACGAACGAGACCUUAACCUACUAAAUAGUCGGAAGAAUCAGUUGAUUCGACAACGACUUCUUAGAGGGACAUCGCGUGUCUAACGCGAGGAAGUGUGAGGCAAUAACA